UAUUUUUUACUCAUCUCAAUGUUAUAGGGCACAAUGGAGGUGAGGAAAUACCAGAGUCAUAUAAAGAGAGACACUGUAAUGGAACUAUCAGUCUAGUAGGAGAGGAUGAUGACAUGUACCUAGGAGAGGAUGAUGACAUAUACCUAGGAGAGGAUGAUGGAACCAUGUACCUACUUCCCCUGGUUGUGAUCCUGGGUGUUGUGACUGCUGUUCUACUGAUAGUCAUCCUCAUCCUGGUCCUCAAGAUCAGACGAGACUCAAACCGACACAAUACAGGACCUGAUUCUCAAAGGCAAUCACACAAUGAUCAGAUGCAUUGAAUUAUGCCGCCCUGAAUUUCACAUCCAAGAAGAGGAUGAUGGAGAGGAGAAGAGAGAAGGAGCUGGACCCCCAUGUAGUGUAUGCUGCUACAAGAUGAUAAAGUGGAGGAGGAUGGAAGAGGAGGACAAUAAGUUGUCCAUAUCUUUGAAUACAUUAAUUUGCCAUAUCUUAGAAUACAAGUUUAAAUCUUGCUGUAUUGUAUCUGUGUAGUUAAGUUAAACCUAUUGAAAUGUAAAUCAA